rnacentral:rRNA from 1 species
CCUCCUUUCUUCCUCCUUUCUUCCUCUUUCCCCCUUUUGUGCCCCCUGCUGCCGCGACGCCGCGUGAGUGAAGAAGUAUUUCGGUAUGUAAAGCUCUAUCAGCAGGGAAGAAAAUGACGGUACCUGACUAAGAAGCCCCGGCUAACUACGUGCCAGCAGCCGCGGUAAUACGUAGGGGGCAAGCGUUAUCCGGAUUUACUGGGUGUAAAGGGAGCGUAGACGGCAGAGCAAGUCUGAAGUGAAAGCCCGCGGCCCAACUGCGGGACUGCUUUGGAAACUGCCCGGCUAGAGUGCUGGAGAGGUAAGCGGAAUUCCUAGUGUAGCGGUGAAAUGCGGAGAUAUUAGGAGGAACACCAGUGGCGAAGGCGGCUUACUGGACAGUAACUGACGUUGAGGCUCGAAAGCGUGGGGAGCAAACAGGAUUAGAUACCCCUGUAGUC